rnacentral:snRNA from 1 species
GUGCUCGCUUCAGCAGCACAUAUACAAAAAUUGGAACGAUACAGAGAAGAUUGGCAUGGCAAGGAUGACGUGCAACUUUGUGAAAAUAUCUAAAAAUGA